rnacentral:rRNA from 1 species
AGCGAACGCUGGCGGCAUGCUUAACACAUGCAAGUCGAACGAACUCUUCGGAGUUAGUGGCGGACGGGUGAGUAACACGUGGGAACGUGCCUUUUGGUUCGGAAUAACUCAGGGAAACUUGUGCUAAUACCGAAUGUGCCCUUCGGGGGAAAGAUUUAUCGCCAUUAGAGCGGGCCGCGUCUGAUUAGCUAGUUGGUGAGGUAACGGCUCACCAAGGCGACGAUCAGUAGCUGGUCGGAGAGGAUGACCAGUCGCACUGGGACUGCGACACGGCCCAGACUCCGACGGGAGGCAGCAGUGGGGAAUCUUGCGGAAUGAGCGAAAGCCUGACGACGCCAUGCCGGGUGAAUGAUGAAGGUCUUAGGAUUGUAAAAUUCUUUGACCGGAGACGAUAAUGACGGUACCCGGAGAAGAAGCACCGGCUAACUUCGUG